rnacentral:rRNA from 1 species
GACGAACGCUGGCGGCGUGCUUAACACAUGCAAGUCGAACGGAAAGGCCCUGCUUUUGUGGGGUGCUCGAGUGGCGAACGGGUGAGUAACACGUGAGUAACCUGCCCUUGACUUGGGAUAACUUCAGGAAACUGGGGCUAAUACCGGAUAGGAGCUCCUGCUGCAUGGUGGGGGUUGGAAAGUUUCGGCGGUUGGGGAUGGACUCGCGGCUUAUCAGCUUGUUGGUGGGGUAGUGGCUUACCAAGGCUUUGACGGGUAGCCGGCCUGAGAGGGUGACCGGCCACAUUGGGACUGAGAUACGGCCCAGACUCCUACGGGAGGCAGCAGUGGGGAAUAUUGCACAAUGGGCGGAAGCCUGAUGCAGCAACGCCGCGUGCGGGAUGACGGCCUUCGGGUUGCAAACCGCUUUCGCCUGUGACGAAGCGUGAGUGACGGUAAUGGGUAAAGAAGCACCGGCUAACUACGUG